rnacentral:rRNA from 1 species
AUGGACGUCGCCGUCGCGGUCGCCGCACCUACAACUAAUCUUUACGGGCAAGACCUCGUGAGUUUCCAGUCGAAGCUUGGCAUUCUCGCUCCGUCCACCUGGCUGUCUCACCCCGCCGACGAGCUUUUAAUGCUCGGCAUCGACGGCUUGCCUUUCACCAAGGAGGCUGGCGACACCGACAUCGCCCUCGUCGAUCGGAGUUUUCUCCAUGUCGGACAGGCCGUGGUAUCGGCAUCGGACGUCGGCGGCCAGAUCGGCGUCGUCACCGGCGUCACCACAACGCUCGACCUCGUGGACCGUGGCGGCGAGGCGACAGGGGAAGUCAUCGGGGGCCUGCCGCCCUCUGCUGUGCGGCGUGUCAGGGCGCUCAGCCUCGGGGAUUACGUCGUGUCUGGGCAAGGGCAGUGGCUGGGCCGCGUGGUUGAGGUGUCCCUAGACGUGGACGUCGUGUUCGACGACGGCGCUAUCUGCAGGGUCACGGACGCCGAGUCCCCAACCAUGCAGCUAUGGCCGGCGGAGAGCACACCUGGUCUUCACCGCCAACAGACGAACGUCACCUUCUACCCGGGGCAGCGCGUCACCUCCGGUGACCCCUCAGUCGUCUUCAGAGGGGCGCGGUGGCUAAGUGGCCACUGGAGGACGAGGCAUGAAGUGGGGACGGUGACCAAGGUGGAGAUGGCCGGCGUCCUUGUCCACUGGAUCGCGUGCGCGUACGGGGACACCGACGAGCAAUUCCACCACGAGUCCGCUCCUCCAGCUUACCAAAACCCUGAGAACCUGAUGUACUUCUGCUGCGCCUACGAGUGCAGCUGGGGAGUAGGCGACCGUUGCUUCCUCCGAGAAAGCACUGCUGCUUCCCCCAGUUCAGAAAUAGAUUCUCCUCAUGAUCCACAUCACCAGAGUUCACUGCAAUCUGAUGAUAGCUCCUCUUCCGAUGAAGAAGAAGAGGUUGAGCCGUCGCCGCCAUCGUUAACCGCCGGCCUAGCAACAGCACCAGUGGAUAAGGAGGAGAGAUUCUACCGCAAGCAGCUGAGGAAGGCCAUGUUCGUACGGCAUGGGGGGCGGGCGCGACGAGGCUACCAGCCGCCGGAACCGCUGCGCACCAUGACCGUCUCCCGCACUCGCACCACCGUCGACGUGUUGUGGCAGGACGGCACGCGACAACACGGGGUGCCGUCGACGUCCCUCAACCCCUUCGAGAUGAUGAACGAGCAUGAGGUCUUCCCCGGGCAGUAUGUCGUCGACGCUCGAGAUGACGACUUCACGGGGGUAUCAACCGGGCGGCGUGUCGGUGUCGUUGGGAACCUAAAUUCCAAGGACCACACGGCGCAUGUGUCGUGGUUCAAGGCGGCGUCCGGAGGGUGGGAGAUGGAAUGCGACGACGAGGCCGUUAGUGUGUAUGAUCUAGGCAGGGACCCUGACCACUCCGUUUUCUAUGGGGACGUCGUUGUUCGUACACUAUCAUCAAACGUGACUGGAAAUAAUGCACGGCAACCACAGGUCCUCGAUCUUUCAUGGGUUGGUCGUGUUGUUGACUUGAGUGACGGGCACAUCCAAGUCAAGUGGGGCAACGACACCACGUCAAUGGUAUUACCCCAUGAGAUCACUGUUGCCAGCAAGGAACACUACAGCGAACUGCAGGCUGAAAUGGGCGACUGGCUGGAGGAGGACAGCGUUGAUAAUCAUCAAGAAUCUGGUGCUGCUGAUGUGGACAAUGAUCCAACAGAUGUUAGGAACAUCCAAGGCGCGAGGGUUGAAGACGGUGGCAGUUCUGCUAAUGAAUCAGAUGGCCAUGCCGCUAUGCGAACAAACCGGUUGGGUGGUGUCAUCCAGUCCAUGAUCCGGUCGGCAAUUCAAGUGUUGGCUCGAGCCAAGUUGUAUCUUGUCAAUCACACAUCGACGUCAAUCUCGGAUUUGCCAGCUGCGACCAUGCACAAUGUUGUUGAAGUGUCUGCGCAUGUAGCCUUGGGUGGUAGUCACGUAGAUCCUAGCAUGGAGGGCACUGUCACGGAGGUCGUCUUUCCUCCAGUGACAAGAAGCGAUGAGAAUGGCGACGGUGAUGUCGAGGAUGCGGGCAGCAGUAACGGAGGAAAAAGUUGGGUUAAGACGGUUCAGAAAGAGUGGAAAAUACUCGAGGAUAGCUUACCAGAUACCAUCUACGUGCGGGCAUACGAGGACCGGAUGGACCUACUCCGGGCGGCCAUGAUGGGCGCCAGCGGGACGCCGUACCAGCAUGGGCUCUUCUUCUUCGACCUGCAGCUGCCGCCCUCCUACCCCGCCGUGCCACCCAGGGUGUACUAUCGCUCCUUCGGCCUCCGCCUGAACCCAAACCUAUACCCCUCCGGCACAGUGUGCCUCAGUCUGCUAAACACCUUCGGCGGCGAGGGCACCGAGGUCUGGUCGCCCGGGACGUCAAGCCUGCUCCAGGUUGUCGUCUCCCUCCAGGCGCUCGUCCUCAACGGCCAGCCUUACUACAACGAGGCCGGCCACGAGACACUGGUGGACACGCCGGAGGGCCGCCGCAAUGCACUGCCCUACAGCGAGAAUGCCUUUCUACUUACUCUCCGAACCGCGCUGCACCUGCUUCGUCAGCCGCCGCGAGGCUUCGAAGGGUUCGUCACGGACCACUUCCGCCAGCGGGGGAGGCGCGUGCUCAUGGCGUGCGACGCGUACCUGCGGGGAUGCAUUCAUGCCGAUGAAGGGGGCAUGGAGCUGCCUUGCUCCACUGGCUUCAGGAUCGCGCUUGCCAACUUGGUGCCCAGACUCGUGGCCGCCUUCACAAACAUGGGCACUCAAGGGUAG